UGUUGAUCCUCCAGUAAAGCAGCGUAAUCCACUCCUUUCCUAGCCUUGUCCCUGUCCAGGGUCUCCUCAUGUCCUCCCUUGUCUCUGGAUCAUCUCUGUGCCCAGUGGCAAGUCCUGGUCCACUGCUCUCCACCACAGUUUGAUGGGACAGAGAUACAGCCUCUCCCAGGGGGAAGGGAAAAACACUUUGAAAUCAAGCAGGCCAAUAGUAGUAAAAGUUUAAAAAUUAACAUCAUGCUUUUAUUGGUGCCCUUGAUUAAUUGAAGGGAACUGCUAUAUAACUCAGAGCCAGAAAUACAUUUUUAAAGUUGACUCAUUUGAGUUUGAGUGAAAGGUACUGGCUCCAGCCAGAAAAUCUGUGUUAGUGCAGAAGAGUUAUUUGACUUUUUUCUGGCUUUAACACCACUACAAAAAUCUUUUUGCCAAAGGAAUGGACAAACUUCUUUUCAUCUGAGUGGAAAUCAGCUAGAAAGCUCAGUUUCAUCAGAGCUUUAGCUAGACUGGGGAUUCCUAUGGUUUAGACACUUUAAAGCAAACUGCCUGCUAUGGUUUGACCUGUUUUGCAGCUGUACGCAGCUGACAGCCCACCAAGCCAAUAUAUGCAAACUAUUUGCGAGGCUUUGACAAUGUAGCGGUCGGCAGCUCUUAUUCUGCUGACUUCCAAAUGACUUAAGAGUGUUUGCAGUUUGCUUUGAAAUUUAAGCAGAGAGGAGCUCUUAGUGACACUGCCGAUCGAAGGGCUUUUCUCAGGAGGGAAUACUCCGUACUCCAGUGGCUUUUAACUGUCAGUGAAUCAAAUGAUACAGACUGGCUAUUUUUCACGUCUUGUGUUGUGCUGAUCUUCUAAUUUAAUGUAAAUGCAUUAUUGGAGGACUGAAUUGCACUUGCAUAGGUUUUAAUAAGAUCGGAACAAAAAACACUGAAAUAUUUUACUCUUAAGCAAUUUAAAUUCAAUUUACAGUUGCUGUUUAUUUUCACAUACUUGGUUGUUGCUUUAAGAACUUUUUUUUUUUUUUCCCCCGCACUGCUUGCAUAACUGACAUCUAUUGCAGUAUUAAAUUGACGCUCUUACUGUGCUCUGGAAUUUGUUUUGUUGGAUCUCUACCAGUUAGAAAAUGUACCCAAUUGAAAGGACAGUCUAGGAAGCAAGAAAGCCUUUCCGCAAGCAGCAGCUGUCCCUGCUGUUGAUGUAACUAGAAAAUAUGAUUUGAAAGGGUACUCACUUUCCUUUCCACGGGAGCAUUGUUGAUACCUGCCACAGGCUCCGGCUUUCAUACUGCAGACCUGAGGUUUUGGUCUCACAAAUUCCUGUGUUGUGUUGCCACAUCACAAUUCCAGUGUAAAUAGUGUUACUUUGUUGUGAUACACCCACAUCUGUGCAUCUCAUACACUCACUUGCAAAGGCACCUCUGCAGCACCGAAAGGAAGAUUACUUCUGUAGCUUCUGAAGUACUGCGUCUAGUAAAAGGGAGAAGAGCUAAGGCCUUCCAACCGAAGAGCAAAAAUGGUCCUCAGGGACUGGAGGGCAGAGGGAAGUGUUGGGAUACGAAACCUCAUUACAGCUGUGAAUUGUUUAUUGGGUUUGUGUUAAAAUCCUGCACUGCCUUAGAAUUCAUUCAGAGAAAGCAAAGCUCCUAUAUUACCCACAGGUAAAUUAAUCGUGUGUAAUACUCCACCAGCACAGAAUGACCUUAUGCAAAUGACAGUACAGCAAUGAAGAGAGUUUCAAAAGCUGGUUACCUGCCUGUACAAACUCGCAUGCCUGGUUAUACUUUCAACCAGACAGAUGUCCUACACACUUCUUUAUUGUGAAUAUUUACUACACAUAAGCAGCAUACCAUCUGGAUUACAUAACAUAUUUCUUAAGUAUGGAAGCUUCUGCUACUGGAAGAAUCUGUGAUAAUCACAUCAUUUGCUAAUUUAUACCUCAAAAAUUGUAGAAACAUUAUUUAGGUCCCACGGCAGAACUUGGGAAUAGGAAAACAAGCUCCCCAUUAAAAAGGCUGGGUAAUUCAGAACAAAAAAAUGUUUUAAAUUAAGCAGUGGGAUAGCUGCUUAGCUGCUGCAAUUCCUACCCUCAAAUUACAUUGACACUCUAUAGCUCUCUACAGAGUGUCUUAGCAGAUUACUACAUAUAACAAUAUAUAAACAAAACUGCCAAAUAUAAAAUAGGAGAAUAAUCUUUCUUCAUCUGAGAUCACAACUAGAACAGCAUCAUUAGUGGAGAGAACAGAACAUUGCCAAAGCGUGCAUCUCUUCAUUUAUUUUAGCAAGCAAGCUAAAAACGACUUUUGGUGUGGCAGACUCACUCUCUCUAAACCGGACGAAGGCUGGAUAUUCAGUCAGGCAAGGUGCAUAGCUGGUAGGCAUCUACUGCCUUGUGACAGCAACCUUUCCCUGACAAUCAAGGAAUGAGUCAGGGCUAUUUCACUUAUCUUCAAAUCAGAGUUAUCUGUGGGCAUAAUUCAUUCUUGCAAACACCUUUUUGAAAUCAUGUCCUAAAAAGAAGCUGAAUAAAUGCAAUAGAUGUGUUGUUGAGAUAGCUUCCCCUAUUAUAAUAUGAUAUUACAGAUAAAAAUGGUCUGAAAUUUUGAAUCUGCCUCAAUAAAACCAUGUUAAAAGUAGGAGUUCCCACUAAAAUGCUGUCAGACCCUUAAUACAACAACAUUGGCAGAAAAUGCAAAAACUGAAGUAAAUUAUUUUUUCCCAACUAGAAAUCAGGAAAGUUGAAAGAGAAGAAAGGACAAAAAAAAAAAGGAAGUUACCUUGAGAUCCCUGCUGUACAGACUGGUUUUGAAAUUGAGCAUAUGGUUUAUUUGGUAUUCCAGGAAACUGCUGCCCAUUUGGUGAUUGGCUGUGCGAUGAUGGAGAGCUGUGUUUCUGCAGGAGGGAAGGUGGAACUAAUGCUUUCAGGGGGCUGACAAGUGGAGAGAUUAUGUUGGGAGCCAGCCUAGAAAAAGAAAAUUCAGAAAAAUUUCACCUAUCAAAUAAGGGAAAAUGAAAUACUUGAAAGGUCCUACAUACAUGACGGCAAGACUACAAAAACAUUUAUUUUGCAGCUAUAAAUUAUGCUGUAAAAGAAAGAUAACAAUGCAUUGCUGCUUUCAAGUCUUCAUUAGCAUGGAAGGCAGUUAGAAAACGAUUUAUGUUUCUUUACACUGACCUCCUGUACUAAUCCUAAUGACGGAAUCAAAAUGACAUCACUCCUCAGAAAGCAACUCAGACACGGGUCAGUUUUAAUUGAAAAUUUUGUAAGCUGAGAAACAUGUCCAGAAACAGAAGUGGAGAAUAAGUCAGAAUAAGUAAAAGCGUGUAAAUUGUUCAAGUGCCUCAGUAGUUGUAGUGGGUAAAACUUUCUACCCGGGUUUCAGCCAAGACAAAGAAAAGCAUUAGUUUUCAAUUAUUCCUCAUACAGUAUUUUUUAGGCUUCACUGCAAGAAAUACAGAAUUCACUGCAAAAGCUGGCACUGUCCUUUCAAAGAAAAGGCCUGAAUAAGGGUUUGCUUGUGGCAACACCUCUCCAACCCUGGAAAAUUGGGCAGGGUGGAGCCUAAGAGAUGGAAAAUUCCCCACGGACAGCUGGGAGUCAGGCCAGCCCAGAAGCACUGGGACAGCGCCACUCGGGGGACAGACCCUGACCCUGCAUCCCCAAAGCACGCUGGAGCAGCUGAAGAAGAGCCUCACUGGCCCGCUGCCGUGAAACCCCUGGGCACUCCUCCACCACUGGUAGAAAAGUGUUAAUGCUUCCCCUGGCCGUGGAGUGCCCCCAGCCCACCAAGGCAGGUACAGCAGCUGGCCCACAUGGCAUGAACCAUUUCCCAGAGAACUCUUCUGGCCGUUCACAGACAGGAAGAUGAUGUGGUGCAGAAGAUGUGACCAAAAACCUGGUCACUCAGCCUCUUUUAUAGCUGCAUUAAAUUAACACUGUAAAUGAGUAACUUGUUUUAAACUGGACCUUUUCGCCUCCUACUACAGCUGUGACAAAUAGCUUUCUGCUAAAUAGCCCAAGGUUACACUUUCAAAUGUGAGGUCUGCUUGGAGCAAGCUUUCAGCAUAUUCAAAUUUAACGUGUAGGCAGAGGAACACUGCCAAAAGCUGUCACAGUGGCAUAGUGUCACAGUGACGCUUAUUAACAGGGGUUUUAAUAAAUCAACUGGUCAAAGACAAUCCUAUGAUGAAAUAAGUCCACCACCCCAAUACACAAAAAUAAGGCACGUGAUACAGACUGCAGAGAGUUCAAAUUUCCCCAAACUAAACUGAAGAAAUAAGCAAGUAUUGUUAAAUAGAUGAAGACAAGGACAUUUUCAAGCCAAAUAUCUAAGAACUGGAUAACAAACCUUCUGUGAGAAACAUAACUCCUCAUAAGCACAGGCCUGCAACAUGUAUAGAUAACUGAAGCAGAAUUAUAAAGCCAAUAUGCAAAUAAAAAAAACUUAUUAGUCUGUGGGCUUUUUUUGUUCACUCGUUUUUGUUUCAGGUACAUAUUAAAAAGAGCUCUGCAACAAAAACUAAGAAGAGCUGGGGCUGCAGACACAGCAGGAACGGGGAGUGGGGCUGCAGCAGGGUGGGCAGUGCAGGGCCAGCAGUGCCCUCAUUGGGUCCCAGGCUGAAAGCGCUCUCUAGAGACAGCUCUGCUGAGGACCAGAUGCCCUGGGGUAAACACCAAGUUUGUCUGCAGCUGAACGCAAAGGUCAGCUCCCAUGUGGCCAUUGUUUUUCCCCAAAUGUCGCAGUGGAGAAACAGUUAAACGAAACUAUCUGUUGUGCUGCCCAGCUACAUGCUGGAUCUUCCACUAAUUCUCUCAAACAUGUGUCAAUGGUGAGGACUGCAUGCAGAUGGGGCUGCCUUUAUCUGCUGGAACCUGCAGAAAAGCUUUGCUACAGUCUCAUCCGAUGCUGCCAGGGAGUGCUGGCAAAGCAUGACCACAAGUGACAGAACGGUCACCAGCCCAUUCAAAUGGCACAUGGAGACAUCGCACUCGACAUGCCAGAAAUGCUAGCAGAAGCCAGGAAAUACUUCUAUCUGAAAGGAGAUUAAAAAGAUUGCAGUUGUUUUCUUUGGAAGGAUAACAGCUAAAAGAGAUCACGAUAGUGACAUUUAUAUGGAUAAUGACCACACACACAUUGUAAAGAGAAACAAAAGAUGUACUGAAGACUCCACGGCUGGAUGAGCCAGAAACCGCUCUGAAUGAGGGAGGAAAAUACUUUUGGUGAGCAAGCACUCCGUGACUGCCUGCGUUGGGUUUCCUGCGCCUGCUCUGGGAAUGCCUUUUGCUGGCCACUGCUGGAGAUGCAGCCCCAUGCGGGCCUGCCCAGCUGCUCUGUGUUGAAGGCUCUGUUCACACUAUGGGGAAAUUGCAUUUUUAAAUUCUGUGCAAAUGUUGCACAGCAAAAAUGGUACAUUUAAGUCGUCUGGCUGUGGGAAGUCUGAAAUCCCCAGCUUCCCUGUUUCAUUCUUCCUAAAGGUUAUUUAAAUCUUAACCUGCGAGAUGAAUUCAAUGGCUAUUGUGAUUAUGUUUUAAAGCAGUGCUUGUCCCCUCUCAUUCUUUCGCAUUCUUGUUUUUCCUGUGUGUGAGCUCAAUGCUUUGCCAGGAUUUGUGCCUCAAAGCCUUUGCAAUGGCUUGCUGGGAGCAGGAGGGAGGCAGCAGGGUGAGGAGGUGUGGGGCUCCGCUCCAGCCAGGCGAACCGGGCUGCCAGCUCCCUGCUUCCACUUGCUUUGCCGGCACGGUGCUAGGGCUCAGCAAACAUUGCUGCCUGCAGGCAGCCAGUAUCCUAGUAACAUGUAGUGCAGCAACUUGGGCUGAAACCCUGAGAGCUCUGCGUAAUGCUCAGCUCUCUGCCUUCUCUGUGUGAAGAGUUUCAUGCGGUUUGAGCAGGUAACCAUGAAAUCUACAGCUUUCUCUUCAAUAUCUCCCAAGUAGGGAAUUUCAUGUUUUCCAUAAGUUAGGGCUCAGUUUUUAGCUAGGAAAGAGCAUUGCUCAGCAGAAAAAUCAGUCUGUAUUAGCGUAAGUGGCCAAUAUGGGAAUUGGCUUUCUUAAAAUAGCCAUCAUAAUGCCAACAGCUCAAGCUGGCCCCUAAAAUAUUGUUCUCUGUGUGCACAUGUACUCUGGCAGACUCAAGGAGAGUUUUUCAUCAACUAACUGUCCAGCCACCAGUGCCCUGUCUUUAAUUCUGUCCCAAACGUUUGUAUACUAAUCAUGUUGCUGUGAUACUCAGGUUGUUAAAGGAUAGGCAAAAUCAUUCCUGAUACAAAUUAAAUAGCUUAAAAGGAGAUGUCUUUUGUAUGGAAGGGGAAACACUGAACUAUUUAAGCCAGAAGCUCAGCUGGAUACAUUAAAAAUUCCAAGGCAGUAGCUCAGGCAUAUGUUUCAGUAACUAACAGCCUGUACAUUUCCUGUUAAUGCUGUACUACAACCACAGUUUGCUUUGGUUUGUAUAUUAAUAACAAAUAUAUGCCAUAUAUUUUAUUUUAAUUGUAACUUGCAUAACUCAAUAAAUCUGCAGGUACUUUUGGGGCCUUUUAAUAUAUAUCUGUGCCUAUAUAUAGUUAUAUUGGCAGGUUAUAGAUAAAUACUCACACAUACAUGAAAAAAAAUCCUUCCUUAAUUCAUUAAAUUUAAGGGCUCCUAACUAUCCUGAAUCCUUCUGUCUGAUAAGGUACAUCUUUUCCCUAUCUUGCUAACACUACUGACAAAGCUAAGAAAGAAGAACAGUUCUUACAGCUUGCUUACACUGCUGAUCUAGUUGGACCGUCAAUACAUUCCACCUUUUUAUACGGAUACUUGACGAUAAAAUACUUUCAUUAUCUGACGUACAAAUCAAAAUACUGCAAGACUUUUAUUAUUCCACUAUGACCUUUAUGAGAAAGGUAACAACUUAAUCAUGCUCUUACCUUAUUCAUAUCCAUUUCCCAGUAUAGACACUAAUGAAGUUCCUAGCUGGAUUUCCUCUCUGAAUCCAGCAGAUUUUCAGUUGCCUACUGAUUGAAUUGCCUUUGCUAAAAAACGUUCCCGGAUGUGAUACAUGGUACAAAUAGGAAAGUCUUUUCAUCUCAAGACUUCUGGUGACUUUGGACCUAAUGAUAGUAGGUGCUACUAUCUGUGUGUCUCUUACGAACAGCUUGUGAAUUCACAGGAAUCUGUAGGCUGGAAAUCUCUGCUGUAUUUGUGGUGCUCUCUGGGUGUAUUUCUGUAUGGCAGUCAGCACUGUGAUGCAGCGCCCAGAAAUCUUCCUAGCCUGGAAGUAGCACUUGUGAUGAAUACAUGUCUCAAGCCUUGUUUUGUAUGUCAAAUACCCUAACUGGAGGAUACACUGUCCAAACCCUGGAAGCAUUUGCCUCCUUACCUCCCAUUCUCCUGUAACUUCUCUGGGUCCCCAUGGUAACAAAACUGCAUCUUCAGUACUUCAUGCAUCACAAACAUGCUGCUUAACAAUUACAAAUGACUGGUAACAGCACGGCCCAAGUGGCUCAUGUUGCAUGCUGCUGGGAUUGGUCUGAAGGGAGGUGCUAAGGAGAAUGUUUACUCAUGAUCUGGAUAAAGCAAGGGAGAACUGGUGACUGUUCACUGAAAAUACUUCAGUUUCCUGACAAGCUACUCAGGUGCUUGCAGUAAACUUAAAACAGAUCUGAAUAUACUCAGAAUGUGGACAGCAGGAUGCAAAAUGAAACCAAAUUUGGAGAAAUUAGAGGUAUUAUGUAUCAACACUGAAUACAGAGCUACUUUCAGUUCUGAUGCAUUUAAUCACUGUAAGAGUUAAAAGCAGCUGAAGAUAUACUAGAAUAGUAAGAGAGAGGUUUCACCAAGUAAAAUUGGCCAAACUAUAAUUGUGGCACUGAAAGAAGAGAACCUGAAACACAGUUUUUCAGAAUGCAGUGGCACAGCAGAGGAGCCAGCCUCCUCUCCAGCCUGCUGAAGACACAGGAGCGACAGAGCAUUCACCACUGGGAGAGGCAGGUCAGUUUCAAACAAAAGGAACAUUUUGCUCACGCAGCACGCUCUGGCCUGUGGCACUCAUAGCCACAGGAAGUCACAGAAUCAAACAGUCGAGAUAAGUUUUUUAAAAACAGGGUGAAUAAUUUGAUGGCCAAAACCAACAUUUCCAUGCUAAGCAAGGGGUAAUCAAAUUGCGUGCUUCAGGAUGUAAACUGAUCGCCCAAGAAAUCAGAGAGGAAUCCUCACUCUUCACUCAUCAUACAACUUCACAUGAUUGACCAGGUAUUGUGGGUUUUUUCAGAUUCCCUUUGAAGCACCACGUGUAGGAUGGCGCUGAAGACAUAAUACUAGUCUUGAGGGACCUAUGAUUUCAGAUGGAAUUGCAAGUCUAGUGCAUUCCUCUCCUGAGGAUGCAUCAGUAGACAAUUAAGUAAAAGGACUAGUCAGAACAAUCUUGUUUUUUUAAUACCAUCAUCCACAGAACUGACAGAAUAGUACUGGAAGAACUGAUCCUAAGUUGAUAACAUACCUUGUCUGUGAUGCCACAAACACUUCUGUAGUGUGUUACACAUUAUCUUAAAUUACUCGGUUUCAUAGCCCUUCAGAUAAGCUCUUGAAGUCUGAUGAGAUACUAUCCAUGAGGAGUCACUAACACAAAUGGUAGACACAGACCACGAGCCACUUCCUCACCUCUACUGCAAAGUAUUUGCCACUCACAGCAGUGGAAACACAGAAAUCUGAAUCUUAACAGACGGAUUUUGUUAAAUUAAAAGCCAAAACAUACAAGAUAUUAAUCUGAGUCCGCUCAUUUUAAAAAGCGCAGAUCUUUAAGAAUCUCAAACAGAAGUCUCAGUAAGACUUAAAUUUUCUUUUGAUUGUUUUAACGUUACCUAUUUUUAUUAUAAAUGUUAAGAUUAAAUUAUACCAAAGACGUAUGUGAAGGAACUAUGUAGGUGCUGCGAGUUAGCAGCAAUCUAUACCAAAGACACUUCCUAGGCUACAACUACUGUUAACUUGCUUUAGGUUCACUUAUCCUGCCUCCAGUUUUAGUUUCUCCUAGUAGACCGUGGUGCAUAAAAAAUCGUGCAUUUUCACAAUGCAUACAAAAUGCCAUGUUCCGAUAAUCUUGAAAAAUAAGGAACCCACAAUAAAUGCAUAUGGACAUUGAUUUUUCUGACCUUUCUGUCAAGAUGGUAAUGUAUGUUUUCUAUAUUCAUCCACAGUACUUAGUCUGAGUAAGAAACAGUUUUAUAUUUCACUUUUCCCAGUCUGUUCAGUAACUGUUCCUGAACAAAUGAACAGAGUAAGAAAUUGUAAAGCCAGAUUGAGAGCUGUUUAAAGAGUUCUUUCAUCAUCUGGUUCAUCGUGUCUUAACUGCCAAAACCCACACACAGUAUGUUUAAGCAGAAAAUGCUUGAAUUGAAAAUUGAAAAAUAAUGAAAAUAAUUCAAACUAAGAUUCUUGAAUAAAAACUGAGAAAGAAGUGUAGCCACAAAAUGGAAAUAUCUGAGAUCAGGAUGUUACCAAUAUGAAAACUGUCUGUUUUUUGUUUUUUUUUUUAUGAUGUGAUGGCUUGAUUGGCAGAUUCCUAAGCAAGACAAAGAACUUCAACCCAUAUCCCAUUGACUUCAGCGAAAGGACCAAAUCCAGUCUGAAAAACAUCUGUCCUUUAUCUCAAAUAACUUUUAAUAUAUUCUGGGGUUUAAGACCAUACUGUAACACAGCUCUCAUGUAUACCAUAUUGACACAUCCCACUAUCUAGAAUUUUAGACUUUUUAAAAACUCGUAUUAGUAGGAAGAAAAAUAUAUAAUAAAGCAACAACAUGAAAAGCACUAAGCAAAGAAGCUCUAUGUUUUGGCAUAAGUUACCUACAGAGUACUGCAGCUAAUUACAAAAUCUGAGAUGUUUCCAUGGAACCAGGUUCUGCCAUAAAAUCCAGCAUGCUAACCAUUUCAUUCAUAAUUCUCUCCCCAAGCAUUACAGUCACUUAUAUUGUGAGAAAGUCCAAUUGAGUUCCAGGACCAGGAAAUUAUUUUUUCAAAUGGAAGAAAAAAAAAAAAAGUUAACACUGAUUUUCAUCUCUUCCCAUAAUAUUAAAAAUGAUGUGUAAAGCUCUGCUAAUCUGGUCUCUGGAUAGCGCCCAAUCUCUUGCCACGUGUUUCUGUUCUGGGUCUUGCCCUACGGGAAUUUCUGUCAGCACAUGCUCAGGAAACAGUUACACCGUUCACUUGUUUUUUUCUUUUUCCCUUUUUUUUUUUUUUUUUUUUUUUAAGACGGACUCUAUCUGAAGUUUGGUGAACCUUUGCACUAAUCACUGCCAGGUGCCUCUGGCUACGUUUCUGGAAUGCAAGGAAUCUUUUCUUUCUCUUUCUUUCUUCCUUUCUCCUCUUCCCCUCUCUCCCUGAUAUAUAAUAAAUCCUUCAUUGAAAAGCACCUUGCUGGGCAUCACUGCAUUUUAUUACCCUCUUCUAUAAACAGUGCGCAAACAAGUUGUUAGCCUGUAUGAUACUCAGUCUCUGCUCUAUGACUGCAAGAUAGGACACCGUGAUCCUGUUUUCUGUUUUCUUGCUGUAGCCAGCUUGACCCAAUGCCUGCUGUUGGGAGGCUUGGCUCUGCUGCUAACAUGGCAUGUGUACCUCCAGGUACAACAUCUUAAAGUAGGACUAAGGAAAUGUCAGCCCUUUCCUAGCUUCUACAUAAGUAUGAACUGCCACGAAUGCUGCUCCAAAAGUUAUGCCUCCUGUUUUAUUAUAGGAUCAUAGAAUCAAUGGAUUACUUUAAUCCAGUUCUGCAUCUUCACUCAUCACUCUCCCUAGGCAGUGUCAACAAGUGAGUAUGUGAGCGCACUCAGAGUAAGAGGGGUUUCACAAACAUUAUGGGGAACACUAUCCAAAGGCGCUUUUAACAUGAUUUAAGAUUCUUAAGUCAUUUAGUUGCUUUAAAAUAAUAAUACCAGUCAACAGUGAUAUGAAAACAGCUUCAGGAUGAAAAUUAUAGAGAACCCAAAGGUUCUCUUUGGGUACCUUUCCUGGUACUCUCAAAGGCCUUCUCUUUGGGUCCAGAGUGGCUUACUAAAACACUUGCAAUCUUUCUAACAAAUAUGUGCACAAGUCUCACAGUUGGGGGUACAACAUAACUCAGUAUUUUGUAACCCACUUCACUAUCUACACAAAGAGACACACAUCUACGCAGACAAGGACUUUUCUAUGUUAAAUUAAUAUCUCUACAAUUGCUCUCACCUGAUAUGCAAGUUCUGCAGAGCAGUUAAGCCUUGGUGAUUUCUACUGGAACUAUGCCAAUCUAAAAGACGUUUUUAUUUAUAAGCAUUCAUUUGGUCAUUUUCCUUGAAAGAAAAUUGACAAAUCAAUUCAGUGGAAGCCACUACACCUAAUGGAAAUUUGAAAUCUUAUUCUAACAAUCUAGCAGGAAAAUAUAUUACUGAAGUAAUGCAAAUUAGCAUGCUUUAAGUAAUAUCACAACAUAUUUAGAUUAAAAGCACAGCCUUAGGUUCAAAUGAUUGCCAGGAAGUAAAUUAGAAAGACAUGCAAUCAAACACAGAUAUCAACAUGUACUGCAUGCUUGACUUCUCUGUCUUAUUUUAGUCAUUUAAAGUCAUUAUUCUUUGGCAAGUAUGCAGCAAGACGCUUCCAGGUGUACACAGAUUCUUUACAGGUUGCUGAUGCUGCUUUCUUCAAGUUUACAGUGUAAAAGGCACUAUACUGAACAGUGGGAGAUGUUAAGAUAAUGACUUGUUACACCAUGACAAAUUGUUGUGUUUGGUGUAUGUAACUUACACCUAACUGGAGAAGUUUUGCUUAAAAAACCAAAAGGAAAAAGAAAAAAUCAGCUUUACAGGUGUUAGGCAUAUGAUUUACCUACAGAUAAAAAAACAGUAAUAGCUAGAAUCAUUAAUACAGAUGAGCUGGGUUAAAUCAAUUCUAGAUGAUUUACUCUGACAAAUUCAUUUAAACUCCCUCCUACUCUAGUGGCUGUCUCUAAUCUUACAUUAAGAUAGUUCUGCUCAGAGGGUCUCUUCUGGGCAGUCAUCAAGGGGGAGAUCUUAUCAACAUUCAUACAUAUGUGAAGGGAGAGGGCAAAGAGAACAGAGCCAGGCUCCUGUCAGUGGUGCCCAGUGCCAGGCAAGAGGCAUUGGGCUCAAAGUGGGACACAGGAGGUUCCACCUGAACACCAGGAAGCAUGUCAGUGCUCUGCAGGUAUGGAGCUCUGGCACAGACUGCCCAGAGAUGUUGUGGGGCCUUGCAAAGCUGCCUGGGUGGGGCCUGGGCAUCCUGCUCUGGGUGUCCUGCUCAAGCAGGGGUUGGACCAGAUAGACUGAGAGGUCUCUGUCAGCCUCAGCCAUUCUGUGACUCUGUGAUCAUAGUUAGCGCUCACUUUUGGGGUAAGGCUCUCUAAUGUAUGUCACUCCAGCCCCAUUAGAAACAAAAAUGAAAUACAUGUCAUCAAUUUCUGUGGAUGGCCAAAUGAUAUUUUACCCCAUGAUCAAGCCCUAAGUUAUUGUUGUACUGCUGAAGUCAGUCUAUUCUAAUGCUAAUUUUGCUUUAAGGGGGAAAAAACUAUACAAGUCUAUCUGGACAUGAUUAUAAAUGAAUUCUGAUCACAUUUUCUACAAUGAGAUAAAUGACUUGGGAUUUGAAACCAGAUGCUUUUAAUUACUGAUUUUCUUUGUUACAUGAACCUCAGCUCCGCACCUGUACAUUGUUCUUUCUUCGGACAGAUGUACUGAUGCCCCUUUUGCGUGCUCAGGUCCAUAACACUGAGAUAAAUUAUGAUGGGUUCUUGGCUUCCUCCAUUGAAAAUGUUUUCAGCUGUCAGAGAUAUCUGUUUCUUGUUAUUGGUUUUAGUGCUUUUGAAAGAAAGUCUGAAACACUGACUUGUGUAUUCUAUUAUAAGUGAAGAAUAUUCUCCAGAGGAAUCCACAAUGAAUGAAUGAUGCAUCUCAUUGGUACUAGGAACUGUUAUAAAAACUGUGUAGGUAUUCAGUUCUCCUGAGUACUUCUAGAGUAAGAGUUUGUUUCACACAAAGAUUCAAGCAAUACACCAAAUCCUCCUCACUUUAAGUAUAUGAGCUCACAAACUUGAAAUUCAGCCAUAAGUAGUGAAGACAUGCAAUCACCACUGAAGGUAAUGAGAAUUAGGUACACGUGUAUUUUCAGGUCUGGCCAUGAAUUCUGGCAGAUCAAGGAACUUACGUAGCCUAUUGAAAGGAGCCUUUUACUGGUUUGGAGCAAUUCCUUAAAUCUCAUAUCAGAUACAGUCAUCGGCAGAAGAUGAGCUGCUUGCAGACAACAGUGAAACUCAUAGCCACAAUUUGAGUCCCAUCUCUUCUAACGAGAAAUCACUCACAAGACCCCUUGUAUGCCUGCCAGCAAAGCUGGAGCUGAACACAGGGCCAAAGAGCAGAGGUUGGGGUGGCUGGAGGAGAUUUUGUCUUGCAUACUUUUUUCAACCUUGAAAAUAUGAGGAAUUCUGAAUCUGGUGUUCCCUUGUUGAGCAAAAAGGGAGGCUCUGUGUACCUUGUUUUACUUUAAGUAAAGGGAAAUUAAGGGCUAAACCUUUAACAGAGAUCUCUUUACAGUGAAGUAUUUCUGUGGUAUUUGAAUUAACAGGUGCUAACAAGCAAGCAAACAAAAAUUCUGAUGUUUAAGUAGCCUGAUUAAAACGUGUCUUUUCA